AUACGUAGGGUGCAAGCGUUAAUCGGAAUUACUGGGCGUAAAGCGUGCGCAGGCGGUUUUGUAAGACAGAGGUGAAAUCCCCGGGCUCAAACUGGGAACUGCCUUUGGGACUGCAAGGCUAGAGUACGGCAGAGGGGGAUGGAAUUCCCCGUGUAGCAGUGAAAUGCGAAGAUAUGCGGGGGAAAACCGAUGGCGAAGGCAAUCCCCUGGGCCUGUACUGACGCUCAUGCACGAAAGCGUGGGGAGCAAACAGGAUUAGAUACCCUGGUAGUCCACGCCCUAAACGAUGUCAACUGGUUGUUGGGUCUUCAUUGACUCAGUAACGAAGCUAACGCGUGAAGUUGACCGCCUGGGGAGUACGGCCGCAAGGUUGAAACUCAAAUGAAUUGACGGGG
rnacentral:rRNA from 1 species